AUGAGAUGGACAGGGUGGGGGCCCACACCCCAGGCUACUCGGACAGCAGGGGUCAAUCCCGACGGGCUGGAGAAACCUCAGGCCCCAAGUGCACCAAUGGCCCAGAUGGCUGGAGACCUCUUCCUUUGUCUCCUCUGUCUCCAAGAUCCAGGAGCCCAGGCUCAGCCUGCGAACCACCUGGCCCUGGCCCUGGAGGGGGAUGGGGAGGGUCUGUGACCAUCCUGGGGGGUAUCUGCGCCCCCUUCUUCUACCUGGGGACAAGGGCGCGAAGUCCCAUGCAGCCCCCAUGCAGCCUCACGUGCCUGACGAUGGGAGCCAGGCCAGCCCCUCACACGGGUGCUCCUGGGCAGCCUCUCUGGUAGCCUGGACGAGUCACCCCAGGGGCACAUGCUCCAGGCAGCCCCCUCACCUCAGGGGGCAUGGGAGGCGCUGGGGGUCUUCAGCUGGUGAUGGGGUGACUGACGAGGAUCAGCCCCAACCCCGGGGUCCUCUGGCCGCUGGCAACCGGAGCACUCCCCCAGUUGGAGCUGAACCA
rnacentral:lncRNA from 1 species